UACGAAGGGGGCUAGCGUUGCUCGGAAUUACUGGGCGUAAAGCGCACGUAGGCGGUCUUUUAAGUCGGGGGUGAAAUCCUGGAGCUCAACUCCAGAACUGCCUUCGAUACUGGAAGACUUGAGUCCGGGAGAGGUGAGUGGAACUGCGAGUGUAGAGGUGAAAUUCGUAGAUAUUCGCAAGAACACCAGUGGCGAAGACGGCUCACUGGCCCGGUACUGACGCUGAGGUGCGAAAGCGUGGGGAGCAAACAGG
rnacentral:rRNA from 1 species